rnacentral:rRNA from 1 species
GACGAACGCUGGCGGCGUGCUUAACACAUGCAAGUCGAGCGGUAAGGCCCUUUCGGGGGUACACGAGCGGCGAACGGGUGAGUAACACGUGGGUGACCUGCCCUCCAGCUCUGGGAUAAGCCUGGGAAACCGGGUCUAAUACCGGAUAUGACUCCAUGACGCAUGUUGUGGGGUGGAAAGCCUUGUGCGGCUGAGGAUGGGCCCGCGGCCUAUCAGCUUGUUGGUGGGGUGAUGGCCUACCAAGGCGACGACGGGUAGCCGGCCUGAGAGGGCGACCGGCCACACUGGGACUGAGACACGGCCCAGACUCCUACGGGAGGGCAGCAGUGGGGAAUCUUGCGCAAUGGGCGAAAGCCUGACGCAGCGACGCCGCGUGAGGGAUGACGGCCU